CUUGACUAGACGGACCUUAGUCGGCAAAUUCACAAAAAGCUCGCCUAGCCAUUCCCUCAUUUCCUCCUUUGAGUUCUGCAAUGUGCUUGUCCAGAUGAAAGGACGGAUCUAGGUGGAAACUGAAGGUCAGAGGGAGCAGGUUAAUUACUGCAAGUCAGACAUCUAGGAAGUGACAGGAAAGGAACACUUAAAUCCAGACCUGCUGGCCCUUCAUCUUGAUGUUCCCCAUCACAACAGACAGAACUGCGGUGUUCCUUGGAGAUCAAACAGAAUAUUUGAUAAAGGUCCAAUAAGUGGGAGGUACUUCUAUUACUUUUUAGACUGAAUGCCAUCAGCUUCAUAUGCUGGUUUUUCAGGUAAGAUAUUUGAGAUUCCUGUUCACUGUGCCACCUCUUUGAAGUUACCUACUCCAUGGGGAAUCUCCCUUGGCCAGAAAAUGGGCUAAAUAUGCUGGACAAGAAGGGUUUGCAAGGAGAACCUCCUGAAAAGCACUUGCCUGCUGACAGCUGGCUCACCUGAUAUGUUAAAAAUCCCUUCUGUAUAAAAAUAGAUAUUACCUCUAAAGUUGUGGUGCUGGAGAAGACUCUUGAGAGUCCCUUGGACUUCAAGGAGAUCAAACCAAAUCAAUCCUAAAGAAAAUCAACCCUUAAUAUUCAUUGGAAGGACUGAUGCUGAAGCUGGAGCUCUGAUAUUUUAGCCUUCUGAUUCAAAGAGCCGACUCAUUGGAAAAGACCCCAAUGCUGGGAAAGAUUGAAGGCAGGAGGAGAAGGGGACGACAGAGGAUGAGAUGGUUGGAUGGCAUCACCAAUUCAAUGGAUAUGAGUUUGAGCAAACUCUGAGAGAUAGUGAAGGAAAGGGAAGUUUGGUGUGCUACAGCCCAUGGGGUUGCAAAGAGUUGGAUACGACUGAGCCACUCAACAACAUCAACACCACCACCUCCAAAGCACCUGAAAAUACGGUGUUCUCUUAAGACAGGUUACCAACAUUCUGCCCUUUCCUUUACAUUCCUUUGUUUAGCAAGACCUCUUCUUCUUAGAAUCUAGGGUCUAUAGCCAAACAUGAAUUUAAAAUUCACAGAGGGAUGGUACAGGGAGGGAGGUGGGAGAGGGGUUCAAGUUGCAGAACACGUG
ensembl:lncRNA